GGUGAAAAAUACGUAAAGAGUU
rnacentral:snRNA from 1 species